rnacentral:rRNA from 1 species
GAUGAACGCUGGCGGCGUGCCUAAUACAUGCAAGUCGAGCGAACAGACGGGGAGCUUGCUCCUCUGACGUUAGCGGCGGACGGGUGAGUAACACGUGGAUAACCUACCUAUAAGACUGGGAUAACUUCGGGAAACCGGAGCUAAUACCGGAUAAUAUAUUGAACCGCAUGGUUCAAUAGUGAAAGACGGUUUUGCUGUCACUUAUAGAUGGAUCCGCGCCGCAUUAGCUAGUUGGUAAGGUAACGGCUUACCAAGGCAACGAUGCGUGGCCGACCUGAGAGGGUGAUCGGCCACACUGGAACUGAGACACGGUCCAGACUCCUACGGGAGGCAGCAGUAGGGAAUCUUCCGCAAUGGGCGAAAGCCUGACGGAGCAACGCCGCGUGAGUGAUGAAGGUCUUCGGAUCGUAAAACUCUGUUAUUAGGGAAGAACAAAUGUGUAAGUAACCAUGCACGUCUUGACGGUACCUAAUCAGAAAGCCACGGCUAACUACGUG